rnacentral:rRNA from 1 species
GACGAACGCUGGCGGCGUGCUUAACACAUGCAAGUCGAACGAAGAGCGACGGAAGCUUGCUUCUAUCAAUCUUAGUGGCGAACGGGUGAGUAACGCGUAAUCAACCUGCCCUUCAGAGGGGGACAACAGUUGGAAACGACUGCUAAUACCGCAUACGAUCUAAUCUCGGCAUCGAGGAUGGAUGAAAGGUGGCCUCUACAUGUAAGCUAUCACUGAAGGAGGGGAUUGCGUCUGAUUAGCUAGUUGGGGGGGUAACGGCCCACCAAGGCGAUGAUCAGUAGCCGGUCUGAGAGGAUGAACGGCCACAUUGGGACUGAGACACGGCCCAGACUCCUACGGGAGGCAGCAGUGGGGAAUCGUCCGCAAUGGACGAAAGUCUGACGGAGCAACGCCGCGUGAGUGAUGACGGCCGUCGGGUUGUAAAGCUCUGUUAAUCGGGACGAAAGGCCUUCUUGCGAAUAGUGAGAAGGAUUGACGGUACCGGAAUAGAAAGCCACGGCUAACUACGUG